CCUANGGGAGGCAGCAGUGGGGAAUUGUUCACAAUGGGCGCAAGCCUGAUGACGCAACGCCGCGUGGGGGAUGAAGGUCUUCGGAUCGUAAACCCCUGUCGAAUGGGACGAAUAGCUUUCGGAUUAAUACCCCGGAGGAAUGACGGUACCGUUAAAGGAAGCCACGGCUAACUCUGUGCCAGCAGCCGCGGUAAUACAGAGGUGGCAAGCGUUGUUCGGAAUUACUGGGCGUAAAGGGCGCGUAGGCGGCCAUCUAAGUCAGACGUGAAAUCCCCCGGCUUAACCUGGGAACUGCGUCUGAUACUGGGAGGCUGGAGUUUGGGAGAGGGAUGUAGAAUUCCAGGUGUAGCGGUGAAAUGCGUAGAUAUCUGGAGGAAUACCGGUGGCGAAGGCGGCAUCCUGGACCAAUACUGACGCUGAGGCGCGAAAGCUAGGGGAGCAAACGGGAUUAGAUACCCCANUANUC
rnacentral:rRNA from 1 species